UACAGAGGUCUCAAGCGUUGUUCGGAUUCAUUGGGCGUAAAGAGCUCGUAGGCGGCUUGUCGCGUCGACUGGGAAAACCCGCGGCUCAACCGCGGGCCUGCAGCCGAUACGGGCAGGCUAGAGUUCGGUAGGGGAGACUGGAAUUCCUGGUGUAGCGGUGAAAUGCGCAGAUAUCAGGAGGAACCCCGGUGGCGAAGGCGGGUCUCUGGGCCGAUACUGACGCUGAGGAGCGAAAUCGUGGGGAGCGAACAGG
rnacentral:rRNA from 1 species